UAAAAUCCUAAAAAUCCAGACCGUGCUCCUCCCUAGUUCUCCGACGACUGGCCAGAUCACCAGUGGACCAGGACUCUUCUCUGAUAUCGGCAAGAAAGCCAAAGAUCUGCUAACGAGAGACUACAUAUCGGAGCCGAAGUUUUCUGUUUCAACCAGCAGUGUUUCCGGAGUUGUAUGUAUCGAUUCCACUUAACACAUGAACAUGGAGUAAACAACUUUAUGUGACAAGUGGAAUGUAAAGAGAAAGUUGUGGAGCAAGCAAAAGAAGCAGCAACACAAACUAGCUUAGAUAUUCUAUUGAAGUUGGAUGAAUGUAAAAAUGCAGCGCACCAUGAGAGGAAACAACAGACAAUUUUUGUGAAUUGUGUCAUCUUCACUCGACUAUAAACUGUAUUUUGCAUAUAAUAGAAUGUAUUUUUGUUUCUUUUGUUUUUUUAAAUUUUGUCUAUUGUUGCCAUUAAAAUUUACAAAUAUAAUUCUACAAAUAUAACUUAACGACAUAAUCAUUUAAUGCC
rnacentral:lncRNA from 1 species